rnacentral:tRNA from 1 species
ACUUAAAUAGCUUAAUAAGAGCGCAAUAUUGAAGAUAUUGAGGUAAAUUUUAAUUUUUUAAGUA